CCUACGGGUGGCAGCAGUGGGGGAUAUUGCACAAUGGGCGAAAGCCUGAUGCAGCGACGCCGCGUGAGGGAAGACGGUCUUCGGAUUGUAAACCUCUGUCUUUGGGGAAGAAGAUGACGGUACCCAAAGAGGAAGCUCCGGCUAACUACGUGCCAGCAGCCGCGGUAAUACGUAGGGAGCGAGCGUUGUCCGGAAUUACUGGGUGUAAAGGGAGCGUAGGCGGGGAUGCAAGUUGGAUGUUUAAACUAUCGGCUCAACCGGUAAUUGCAACCAAAACUGCAACUCUUGAGUGAAGUAGAGGCAGGCGGAAUUCCUAGUGUAGCGGUGAAAUGCGUAGAUAUUAGGAGGAACACCAGUGGCGAAGGCGGCCUGCUGGGCUUUAACUGACGCUGAGGCUCGAAAGCGUGGGGAGCAAACAGGAUUAGAUACCCCAGUAGUC
rnacentral:rRNA from 1 species